rnacentral:tRNA from 1 species
AAUGGAGUGGCUGAACUGAGGCAGUAAACUGUAAAUUUACGUAUGAAUUUAAAUUCCUUCAUUA